AUUGAACGCUGGCGGCAUGCUUUACACAUGCAAGUCGAACGGUAACAGGCCGCAAGGUGCUGACGAGUGGCGAACGGGUGAGUAAUGCAUCGGAACGUGCCCAGUCGUGGGGGAUAACGCAGCGAAAGCUGUGCUAAUACCGCAUACGAUCUAUGGAUGAAAGCGGGGGACAGUAAGGCCUCGCGCGAUUGGAGCGGCCGAUGUCAGAUUAGGUAGUUGGUGGGGUAAAGGCCUACCAAGCCGACGAUCUGUAGCUGGUCUGAGAGGACGACCAGCCACACUGGGACUGAGACACGGCCCAGACUCCUACGGGAGGCAGCAGUGGGGAAUGUUGGACAAUGGGCGCAAGCCUGAUUCAGCAAUGCCGCGUGCAGGAAGAAGGCCUUCGGGUUGUAAACUGCUUUUGUACGGAACGAAACGGUCUGGGUUAAUACCCCGGGCUAAUGACGGUACCGUAAGAAUAAGCACCGGCUAACUACGUGCCAGCAGCCGCCGUAAGAC
rnacentral:rRNA from 1 species